rnacentral:rRNA from 1 species
UAGUAACGGCGAGUGAAGCGGCAACAGCUCAAAUUUGAAAUCUGCCUUCGGGCCGAGUUGUAAUUUGUAGAGGAAGCUUUUGGUGAGGCACCUUCUGAGUCCCCUGGAACGGGGCGCCAUAGAGGGUGAGAGCCCCGUAUAGUCGGAUGCCGAUCCAAUGUAAAGCUCCUUCGACGAGUCGAGUAGUUUGGGAAUGCUGCUCAAAAUGGGAGGUAAAUUUCUUCUAAAGCUAAAUACCGGCCAGAGACCGAUAGCGCACAAGUAGAGUGAUCGAAAGAUGAAAAGCACCUUGAAAAGGGGGUUAAAUAGCACGUGAAAUUGUUGAAAGGGAAGCGUUUGCGGCCAGACUUGCGCCGCCCCCGAUCAUCCGGUGUUCUCACCGGUGCACUCGGGGCGGCGCAGGCCAGCAUCGGUUUCGGCGGGGGGAUAAAGGUCCGGGGAACGUAGCUCCUCCGGGAGUGUUAUAGCCCCGGGCGUAAUGCCCUCGCCGGGACCGAGGUUCGCGCAUCUGCAAGGAUGCUGGCGUAAUGGCCGCCAACGACCCGUCUUGAAACACGGACCAAGGAGUCAAGGUUUUGCGCGAGUGUUUGGGUGUAAAACCCGCACGCGUAAUGAAAGUGAACGUAGGUGAGAGCUUCGGCGCAUCAUCGACCGAUCCUGAUGUAUUCGGAUGGAUUUGAGUAAGAGCGUUAAGCCUUGGACCCGAAAGAUGGUGAACUAUGCUUGGAUAGGGUGAAGCCAGAGGAAACUCUGGUGGAGGCUCGCAGCGGUUCUGACGUGCAAAUCGAUCGUCAAAUCUGGAGCAU